GACGAACGCUGGCGGCGUGCCUAAUACAUGCAAGUCGAGCGGAUCUUCAUUAGCUUGCUUUUGAAGAUCAGCGGCGGACGGGUGAGUAACACGUGGGCAACCUGCCUGUAAGACUGGGAUAACUUCGGGAAACCGGAGCUAAUACCGGAUAAUCCUUUUCCUCUCAUGAGGAAAAGCUGAAAGACGGUUUCGGCUGUCACUUACAGAUGGGCACGCGGCGCAUUAGCUAGUUGGAGAGGUAACGGCUCACCAAGGCGACGAUGCGUAGCCGACCUGAGUGGGUGAUCGGCCACACUGGGACUGAGACACGGCCCAGACUCCUACGGGAGGCAGCAGUAGGGAAUCUUCCGCAAUGGACGAAAGUCUGACGGAGCAACGCCGCGUGAGCGAUGAAGGCCUUCGGGUCGUAAAGCUCUGUUGUCAGGGAAGAACAAGUAUCGGAGUAACUGCCGGUACCUUGACGGUACCUGACCAGAAAGCCACGGCUAACUACGUGCCAGCAGCCGCUGUAACAC
rnacentral:rRNA from 1 species